ACCCUCUCAGGGUCUACUUGGAGAGUUUCCAGUACUCUGCCAGUUUCUACGAUGGGAGGGAUUGAAAAGCAGAGGCAUACCCAUUCCAUUCCUAGCUUGGGCAGUGGCUAGUGAGUGGAAGGCAAUCUGCUAUAAGU